GACGAACGCUGGCGGCGUGCUUAACACAUGCAAGUCGAACGGAAAGGCCCUGCUUUUGUGGGGUGCUCGAGUGGCGAACGGGUGAGUAACACGUGAGUAACCUGCCCUUGACUUUGGGAUAACUUCAGGAAACUGGGGCUAAUACCGGAUAGGAGCUCCUGCUGCAUGGUGGGGGUUGGAAAGUUUCGGCGGUUGGGGAUGGACUCGCGGCUUAUCAGCUUGUUGGUGGGGCAGUGGCUUACCAAGGCUUUGACGGGUAGCCGGCCUGAGAGGGUGACCGGCCACAUUGGGACUGAGAUACGGCCCAGACUCCUACGGGAGGCAGCAGUGGGGAAUAUUGCACAAUGGGCGGAAGCCUGAUGCGGCAACGCCGCGUGCGGGAUGACGGCCUUCGGGUUGUAAACCGCUUUCGCCUGUGACGAAGCGUGAGUGACGGUAAUGGGUAAAGAAGCACCGGCUAACUACGUG
rnacentral:rRNA from 1 species